rnacentral:piRNA from 1 species
CAAUAAAGGAAACUGGUGCUACA